GUAAAGUCUGUCCGUACAGCAAACGCUCUAGCAUACACCUCGACGGGCUCGGCUCUUCACUUCACCGACAGGAUUCGCCGCCGCGCCGCCCCGGAGCUCCCGCCCAGGCUCGCCGCCUCAUCGUCCGUCAUCCGCCUUGUGGCCGCGGGAGCACAGACCUCGCCAAAACAUCCAUCCGGGGUCCCGGCUGCCGGCCAGGUCGAUCGCCUCCCCUCUCCUCCGAAAUCGUUCCCCACCAAAACAUCUCUCGUCGCCGCCACGCUCCACGUCCAGGCAGGAUGCGCUGCCUCCGCCGCGCGGGCGCGGCCGCCCACCUGCUCCGCUCCGCGACGACCGGCCCCGCCAAGCACGCUCGCACGGCCCUCGAGCAGAUGCCUCCGCCGCCUGCCGCCUUCCCAUGUCGCGCGCGCGCCCACCACCUGCUCGGAGGAAUGCGCGGCCAGUGGCUCUGCACGGCGACGGGGUCCACCGGCGCCCCCGACCUCGCCGUGGACCAGCACUUCACCGUGGUGCCUGGCCUAGGCCCCGAUGUCUCCGAGGUGGCGGGGCUCACCGGCGCCCACGAUCUUGCCGUGGACCAGGACUUCACAGUGGUGCCCGGCCCAGGCCUCGAUGUCUCCAAGGAGGCGGAGAGGGUCUGCCGCGUGCUGUCCACCGUGCCGGAGCCGAGGGUUGCGUCAGCCCUCGACGCGCUCGGGGCCUCUGUGUCGCCUCAGCUCGUGGCGGAGGUGCUCAAGAACCUGAGCAACGCUGGCAUCCUCGCCCUCGCCUUCUUCCGGUGGGCGGAGAGGCAGCAAGGCUUCGUGUACACGGCGGAGAGCUUCCACAACCUCAUCGAAGCGCUCGGCAAGAUCAAGCAGUUCAGGCUGGUCUGGAGCCUGGUGGAGGCCAUGCGGUGCCGCGGCUUGCUUUCCAAGGACACGUUCAGGCUCAUCGUCAGGAGGUACGCCAGGGCAAGGAAGGUCAAGGAAGCUGUCGAGACGUUUGAGAAGAUGGCCGGCUUCGGGCUCAAAGCAGACUUAUCAGAUUACAAUUGGUUGAUCGACGUGCUGAGCAAAUCCAAGCAAGUCAAGAAGGCGCAAGCCAUCUUCAAGGAGAUGAAGAGGAACGGAAAGUUUGUUCCCGAUUUGAAGACCUACACUGUCCUCAUGGAAGGCUGGGGCCAUGAGAAGGACUUGCUGAUGCUUAAGUCGGUGUACCAAGAAAUGCUUGAUGCAGGCCUGAAGCCUGAUGUCGUGGCAUACGGGAUGCUCAUUAGUUCCUUUUGCAAGUCUGGCAAAUGUGAUGAGGCCAUCAAGGUGUUCUGUGAGAUGGAAGCCAAUGGUUGCAUGCCAAGCCCUCAUGUGUAUUGCAUGCUUAUCAAUGGGCUUGGCUCAGAGGAGAGGCUGGAUGAGGCUUUGAAGUAUUUUGAGCUUUCUAAGGCCAGUGGGUUUCCCAUGGAGGUACCUACAUGUAAUGCAGUUGUUGGGGCUUACUGCAGAGCCUCAAAAUUCCAGCAUGCCUUCAAGAUGGUCGAUGAGAUGAGAAAGAGUGGAAUCGGUCCAAAUUCCCGGACUUAUGAUAUUAUUCUUCACCAUCUUAUAAAGUCUCAGAAGAUAGAAGAGGCUUAUAAUGUGUUCCAGGGAAUGGGCAAGGAUGGCUGUGAACCUCAGCUCAACACAUAUACAAUGAUGGUUAGUAUGUUCUGCAGUAAUGAAAGGGUUGAUGUGGCCUUGAAGGUGUGGAACCAAAUGAAGGAGAAGGGUGUUCUGCCAUGUAUGCACAUGUUUUCUGCAUUGAUCAACGGGUUAUGCUUUGAGAACAGGCUGGAAGAAGCUUGCGUAUAUUUCCAGGAGAUGUUGGACAAAGGGAUCAGGCCACCUGGUCAGCUUUUCAGUAAUUUAAAGGAAGCUCUUAUUGAGGGAGGAAGAAUUAGUCUGGCACAGGAGAUGGCUUUGAAGUUGGAUGGAUUACGGAAAACACCUAUGCGUCGUUGAGGAAUCAUGCAAAUGAUCUGUUGCAGCAGCAUAUGGCUUUUGGCUGUUAGAAGCUCAGUCAAAAUUGUGAUCCUUCUGUGUGUCGCUGCCGUCAGUCGCGGCCUUACUGCUUGGAGGACAGGAGGAGCAUCAGGGGUCUUUGCUACAUCUAUCGGGGUACUGGCCAGAAGUAGGUUAUUGUUAUCCAUGUUUCACAAGCUGAGGUGGCCACCUUUGAUCUAAUACCCGCGAGUCUUCUAUAUUGUCUUCAUCCUAUUCGUGCUAAAACAUACUCAGUUUCCAACUGAAAAAAUGGGCUCCUGGUUUGGUCUAAACACUAUUAGAAUAAUAAUUUGGUUGCAUGCUCUAAUGUGUAUCGGUUGUAUAAAAAAAACAGAUUAAUGAACCCUAGGCUAUGCAACGAUUUCUAGAUGAUUCAUUGUAGUUAUAUGGUCUGUUAGAUUUCCCCCCCACAUUGCUGUUAGAGAACGUUUCGGUACGUAAUAUAUCUGUAAAACAAAAUUUGGUUGUACUAUAUAUUAGGGGUGGCCGUAUAAGAAGAUUCUGGUCGUCAACAGAUUGAUAUUUUCUUU